CCGAGUAUAAUGCAGGAAUAAUUCGUUACGUUCGUGAGAUCCUCGAAUAGUUCGAAAAGAGUCUCGUGUAACAAUCUUUUGUCUCAAUUGUCCUGACUAACUUUGUGUAUAUUGAAGUUUUACAUUCUAAACGAUUCCUUUACCAAACCGUUUUUCCGUUACAAUUCGAUAGUUUUAUUCCUCUGGAAUAUCUCUCGAGAUACCUACGAAGAUCGUUGGAAUAAGGGCAGUCAACGUGUUAAUAAUUUAAUUUUCGAAAAGAGGGAGGAGAGGUUUUUCAUUAUUAUUGUCUUACCGGUGUCUUAGCGGUGUACCACCUCGAUUUUCCACCUGGUGGAUACAGCUCGUUCCUUUCACUUACCUGGAACAUAGGGGAAAGAUUAUCAAUGUUGAAUUGAACUGAUUGAAUCGAUCAAUGGGGUUUUUCUUUUCUUUUCGGCGCUAGGAAACGCACGUAUACCUUGUGCAGCGUGUGAUAAGAAAAUUUUUCUCAUUCGUGAAUAAAAAUACGAACUAAUCAUGCGUUGGUAAAGAAGGAAGGAAGUUGAAGAAGGUGAGAAACGAAAGUCUUCUUGGUGAUCGUUCGACCAAUUCUGCCUCCUCUCCUCCUGCGCGACGUAUCGCUCGAACGCGUCCAAAUGUAGACUCGGAGACUCUUGAACACGGGAAUGUACGUAGAUUGGACGCAGGAGAAGCGGUUGGCUAACCAGUUAAAGAGAGUAGCGGGGAUAGAGAGAUAGUUGAAGUGAAAGAGGAAAAAGGACUCACAAAGGGGUGAAAAGAGGAAUGGAUAAAAAGACGGUGUAAUUUCUGCCGCACCUGAAACAACUUAUUUCUCGUUACUUUUGACAAAAAAGAAAGAAGGGAAAAAGAAUGAGAAUAAACGGAGCAACGUCCAUGUAUAUAUAUAAUAAUAAUAAUAAUAUUAUUGUUAUUAUUAUUGUAAAUUUCUACGAUGUGAAAUAAAUUUC